UGCCUGCUAUUUCAAGGUUUGCAUUUUACGCGACUUUUACUAUCUAAAUUUUUCAGAUAUUGGUUUUAUGCUUUUCUUCAUAGCCGUGGAAUUUUUAUUUAUUAUCCUGUUGUUCGGUGAUAUUUGUCUGCAAUCAAGAGUUAGACCGGCUUGAGCCCCCAAUUAAUAUCGUUUUCACGAUAUAAGUUUGAAAUAUAUUUUGCUACGCCGAAAUGCGUGCCUUUAUUGAUAUUCUUAAAAACUGUUUUCAAUAUGAGAUCUUACAGCUACUUAUACUAGCGAGAUGUGACUGUUGUUAUCUGAUUGCGACUUGUUUGUUGUUAUUGAGAUGAAUUAGUCAUUAGGGACCAUUUGUGCGUUGAAUUGCUUGAAGUUUAUAGUGAUUCGCGAACCUCCAAGCUUUGUGGGUGCCAUGUAGAUAGGAGUGGACAUAGUGUAAUGUCGGAUUACCUCAAGCUCUACCAGCGAGUUGUUGAGCUGAAGGGUGUUGUGGCCGCUGCAUUUCCUAUGUCUUCUGAAACCACUGUGGCUAAAUGAGAUAAGCCUCGUCCUAAGACCAUUCCAUCAACACAGCCAAACACAAAGUCACAUCACUGCCAACACUCCAAUACACCACACAUACAGAACCCUCAUAGCAAUAGGACCCACACAUCAACACCACCCACACGCGAGAGCACCUCACAUAUACGCACGCUAACACACACCACACUGGAUACCUCUCUUCAAAAAGGGUCAGGAUCUCAAAUCUUCAGUUCUGUCGAGUUUGCACACGGAACUACACGUCGCUUUUUCGCCGCCGCUACUCACCGUUUACGCUAGUGAUCCCUAUAGUUAUUAAGCAUAAUAACAAAAACAUAUUUGUAUUGUUAAAUCAAAAUUAUCCGAAAUACAGUGCGAACAAUAA